rnacentral:rRNA from 1 species
AGAGCGAACGCUGGCGGCAUGCUUAACACAUGCAAGUCGCACGGGCACUUCGGUGUCAGUGGCGGACGGGUGAGUAACGCGUAGGUAUCUAUCCUUGGGUGGGGGACAACGGUUGGAAACGACUGCUAAUACCGCAUAAUAACUGAGGUUUAAAGGCGCAAGUCGCCUGAGGAGGAGCCUGCGUACGAUUAGCUAGUUGGUGGGGUAAAGGCCUACCAAGGCGACGAUCGUUAGCUGGUCUGAGAGGAUGAUCAGCCACAUUGGGACUGAGACACGGCCCAAACUCCUACGGGAGGCAGCAGUGGGAAUAUUGGACAAUGGGCGAAAGCCUGAUCCAGCAAUGCCGCGUGUGUGAAGAAGGUCUUCGGAUUGUAAAGCACUUUCGACAGGGACGAUGAUGACGGUACCUGUAGAAGAACGCCCGGAUAACUUCGUGCCAGCAGCCGC